rnacentral:rRNA from 1 species
GGCCCAUCAGCUAGUUGGUAGGGUAAUGGCCUACCAAGGCAAAGACGGGUAGGGGGCGUGAGAGCGUGACCCCCCACACUGGCACUGGGACACGGGCCAGACUCCUACGGGAGGCAGCAGUGAGGAAUAUUGCGCAAUGAGCGAAAGCUAGACGCAGCAACGCCGCGUGGGUGAUGAAGGCCUUCGGGUCGUAAAACCCUUUUCUGGGGGAAGAGUAAGGACGGUACCCCAGGAAUAAGCCUCGGCUAACUAUGUGCCAGCAGCCGCGGUAAUACAUAGGAGGCAAGCGUUAUCCGGAUUUACUGGGCGUAAAGAGCGUUGAGGCGGCUUCGUAAGUUGGACGUGAAAGCUCCCGGCUUAACUGGGAGAGGCCGUUCAAUACUGCGGGGCUUGAGGACAGCAGAGGGGGGUGGAAUUUCCGGUGUAGUGGUGAAAUGCGUAGAUAUCGGAAGGAACACCAGUGGCGAAGGCGGCCCCCUGGGCUGCUCCUGACGCUGAAGGCGAAAGCUAGGGUAGCGAACGGGAUUAGAAACCCCGGUAGUCCUAGCCGUAAACGAUGGAUACUAGGUGUAGGAGGUUAAAAUUCCUUCUGUGCCGGAGCUAACGCGUUAAGUAUCCCGCCUGGGGAGUACGGUCGCAAGGCUAAAACUCAAAGGAAUUGACGGGGGCCCGCACAAGCAGCGGAGCGUGUGGUUUAAUUCGAUGCAACGCGAAGAACCUUACCAGGGCUUGACGUGUAGGUAGUAGUGAAGCGAAAGCGGAACGAUCCUUCGGGAAGCCUACACAGGUGCUGCAUGGCUGUCGUCAGCUCGUGCCGUGAGGUGUUAGGUUAAGUCCUGUAACGAGCGCAACCCCUGCCGUUAGUUACAAGUGUCUAACGGGACUGCCCGGCAAAACUGGGCGGAAGGUGGGGAUGACGUCAAGUCAGCAUGGCCUUUAUGUCCUGGGCUACACGCACGCUACAAUGGCCGGUACAAUGGGUUGCCAAGCCGCGAGGCGGAGCCAAUCCUCUAAAGCCGGUCUCAGUUCGGAUUGUAGGCUGCAACCCGCCUGCAUGAAGUUGGAGUUGCUAGUAACCGCAGGUCAGCCACACUGCGGUGAUACGUUCCC